ensembl:snRNA U6 U6 spliceosomal RNA
AUGCUCACUUUGGCAGCACAUAUACUAAAAUUGGAAAAAUACACAGAUUAGUACAGUCCCUGUGCAAGGAUGAUAUGCAAUUUCAUAGUGUUUCAUAUAUUU